rnacentral:lncRNA from 1 species
UGAGCUGCCUCGAGAUUCAAUUGUCUCCUCUUCUUUCACCACCCCCAAUUUGAUUCACCAUCCUAGCCAGCGAAAAGAGUGUGGGAUCGCUUUGUUUCUUCGUUUGAUCGAGUUGAGCAGCCUGUUGGAAGAGGGAGGCGUCAGGAAAAGUGAUCCUACGAAAAGGAAUGAGUAUGAAAAUCUCUUGCCUUCCAGUGCUGCUGCUGCUGCUGCUGCUGCUCGGUAUCGUUCAUCUCUCAGUGGCAGAGACUCAUCCGGGCGAUGUCACGGUGCUCAAGAACAUCAAGGCAGCG